rnacentral:rRNA from 1 species
AUUGAACGCUAGCGGGAUGCCUUACACAUGCAAGUCGAACGGCGUGGCGAACGGGUGAGUAAUGUAUCGGUACGUGCCCAGGAGCGGGGGAUAACUACGCGAAAGCGUAACUAUUACUGCAUACUAUUGGCGCGGCCUAUAUCGUAUUAGCUAGUGGGUGGGGUAACGGCUCACCAAGGCGACGAUCCGUAGCUGGUUUGAGAGGACGACCAGCCACACUGGAACUGAGACACGGCCCAGACUCCUACGGGAGGCAGCAGUGGGGAAUUUUGGACAAUGGGGGAAACCCUGAUCCAGCCAUCCCGCGUGUGCGAUGAAGGCCUUCGGGUUGUAAAGCACUUUCAGCAGGAAAGCGGUACCUGCAGAAGAAGCACCGGCUAACUACGUGCCAGCAGCCGCGGUAAUUC